rnacentral:rRNA from 1 species
UGGGGAAUAUUGGACAAUGGGCGCAAGCCUGAUCCAGCCAUGCCGCGUGGGUGAAGAAGGCCUUCGGGUUGUAAAGCCCUUUUGUUGGGAAAGAAAAGCAGUCGGUUAAUACCCGAUUGUUCUGACGGUACCCAAAGAAUAAGCACCGGCUAACUUCGUGCCAGCAGCCGCGGUAAUACGAAGGGUGCAAGCGUUACUCGGAAUUACUGGGCGUAAAGCGUGCGUAGGUGGUUUGUUAAGUCUGAUGUGAAAGCCCUGGGCUCAACCUGGGAAUUGCAUUGGAUACUGGCAGGCUGGAGUGCGGUAGAGGGUAGUGGAAUUCCCGGUGUAGCAGUGAAAUGCGUAGAGAUCGGGAGGAACAUCCGUGGCGAAGGCGACUACCUGGACCAGCACUGACACUGAGGCACGAAAGCGUGGGGGAGCAAACAGGAUUAGAUACCCUGGUAGUCCACGCCCUAAACGAUGCGAACUGGAUGUUGGGUUCAAUUAGGAACUCAGUAUCGAAGCUAACGCGUUAAGUUCGCCGCCUGGGGAGUACGGUCGCAAGACUGAAACUCAAAGGAAUUGAC